AACUCCCCCUGUUCUCAUUUCCUUGCCCUUCCAACACAAUGAGGAUUGUUUCAUGAUGCUAAUUCUGACUGAGAAUGAGUAAACUGCCAGUUGCCAUGUGAUUUGGUGAGAUGAAACAACGGGAGGAUGCAUCUUAGGACCUUUUGUUUUUCAAAGAUCUAUUACAGAGCUGGUGGAAUGAUUCAUGAAGAUAUUUGCUGAAUAAUUUAUGAGAGAGAUCGCAAAGCAUUGGAUGAAUAAUUUUUUCCAUCACUCAUUCCACUGCAGUGGAAAAGCAGUAGCAGUGGCACUGUUAACUGUUCCCGCCCCACGCUGUUUGUGGAGAGUGCUCCAUCAAUCAAGACUUCACUCUUGCUGGCAACAACAUCAGGCUUUGUCCAUUGGUCUAG